AAACUGUUUUGAACAAAUGCUGU
rnacentral:piRNA from 1 species